rnacentral:rRNA from 1 species
GUCCACGCCGUAAACGAUGAGUACUAGGUGUAGGCGGUAUCGACCCCGUCUGUGCCGAAGCUAACGCGAUAAGUACUCCGCCUGGGGACUACGGCCGCAAGGUUAAAACUCAAAGGAAUUGACGGGGGCCCGCACAAGCAGCGGAGCGUGUGGUUUAAUUCGAUGCUACGCGAAAAACCUCACCCAGGCUUGAAAUGCACGUGGUAGGGAAGGGAAACCGGACCGACCCCUCGGGGAGCGUGCACAGGUGUUGCACGGCCGUCGU